GACGAACGCUGGCGGCGUGCUUAACACAUGCCAGUCGAACGGAAAGGCCCUGCUUGCGGGGUACUCGAGUUGCGAACGGGUGGGUAACACGUGGGUGAUCUGCCCUGCACUUCGGGUUAAGCCUGGGCAACUGGGUCUAAUACCGGCUAGGAGACAUUUUUAGUGUGAUGGUUGGAAAGUUUUGUCGGUGUAGGAUGAGAUCGCGGCCUAUCAGCUUGUUGGUGGAGUAAUGGACUACCGAGGCGGCGACGGGUAGCCGGCCUGCGUGGGUGGACGGCCACAUUGGGACCGAGAGGCGGCCCAGACACCGACGGGAGGCAGCAGGGGGGAAGAUUGCACAAGGGGCGCAAGCCUGAUGCAGCGACGCCGCGGGGGGGAGGACGGCCUUCUGGUUGUAAACUCUUUUCGCUAGGGACGAAGCUUUUUGUGACGGUACCUAGACAAGAAGCACCGGCUAACUACGUG
rnacentral:rRNA from 1 species